UACGAAGGGGGCUAGCGUUGCUCGGAAUUACUGGGCGUAAAGCGCACGUAGGCGGCUUGGCAAGUCGGAUGUGAAAUCCCUCGGCUCAACCAAGGAAGUGCAUCCGAAACUGCUGAGCUUGAGUACUUAAGAGGAUCGCGGAAUUCCCGGUGUAGAGGUGAAAUUCGUAGAUAUCGGGAGGAACACCAGUGGCGAAGGCGGCGAUCUGGGAAGAUACUGACGCUGAGGUGCGAAAGCGUGGGUAGCAAACAGG
rnacentral:rRNA from 1 species